UUAGGGUAAUCGAGCGUAUAUUUAUAUACGUUAGGAAAGUCCAUGCUAGCACAGCCUGUGAUGGCUGUAGUGUUUGUGCCAGUCUAAAAAAUAAGGCUGGGUACCCCAAAAGGGUAACGGCAGAUUAAGGCCUAAGUCCUAUGGAUAUGGCUAUAUCUAAACGUGCCACAGAGACGAGCUAUUUAGAAAUAAAUAGAUGAAACGCGGUAAACCCCUCAAGCUAGAAAUCCAAAUUUGGUAGGAGAGCUUUCCCAAGGCGAAUAAGAAGCUAUUGGGAGGGAUGAUGAAAGUCAUAGAUAGAUGAUUACCAUUCAGUAAUGAAUACAUAACAUGGCUUAUAU
rnacentral:RNase_P_RNA from 1 species